rnacentral:rRNA from 1 species
UACGGAGGGGGCUAGCGUUGUUCGGAAUUACUGGGCGUAAAGCGUGCGCAGGCGGUUCGUUGUGUCGGUGGUGAAAUCCCCGGGCUUAACCUGGGAAUGGCCAUGGAAACUGGCGAACUGGAGUGCGGCAGAGGGGGGUGGAAUUCCGCGUGUAGCAGUGAAAUGCGUAGAGAUGCGGAGGAACACCGAUGGCGAAGGCAGCCCCCUGGGCUAGCACUGACGCUCAGGCACGAAAGCGUGGGGAGCAAACAGG